UACGUAGGGUGCAAGCGUUGUCCGGAAUUAUUGGGCGUAAAGAGCUCGUAGGCGGUCUGUCGCGUCUGCUGUGAAAACCCGAGGCUCAACCUCGGGCCUGCAGUGGGUACGGGCAGACUAGAGUGCGGUAGGGGAGAUUGGAAUUCCUGGUGGUAGCGGUGGAAUGCGCAGAUAUCAGGAGGAACACCAAUGGCGAAGGCAGAUCUCUGGGCCGUAACUGACGCCUGAGGAGCGAAAGCAUGGGGAGCGAACAGG
rnacentral:rRNA from 1 species